AUAUUCGAUACAACAUCAACUUAUAUAAUGCCAAAAUAAGGUUGGCAAGUUUCUACCCAGUACCGUAAAUACUGGACUAUAAGUAAAGAACUAAAAAUG
rnacentral:ncRNA from 2 species